rnacentral:rRNA from 1 species
CAGCCGCCGCGGUAAUACGGAGGGUGCAAGCGUUAAUCGGAAUUACUGGGCGUAAAGCGCACGCAGGCGGUCUGUCAAGUCAGAUGUGAAAUCCCCGGGCUUAACCUGGGAACUGCAUUUGAAACUGGCAGGCUAGAGUCUUGUAGAGGGGGGUAGAAUUCCAGGUGUAGCGGUGAAAUGCGUAGAGAUCUGGAGGAAUACCGGUGGCGAAGGCGGCCCCCUGGACAAAGACUGACGCUCAGGUGCGAAAGCGUGGGGAGCAAACAGGAUUAGAUACCCCGGUAGUCCCUGUCUCUUAUAU